rnacentral:misc_RNA from 1 species
GCAAAAGAUUCCCGACACUGCAAUCUAAAGAAGUAAAGCUUUUUCCCCCCAACUUUUUCUCUCUGCACACUCUCUAACCUCACUAAAGCGUCAUCCUCUGACCCCACCCACCUUCCCACUCUCCCCUUAUCCCUCGAGCAAUUCUCUUUCCUCUCUCUCCUUCUGCCUUAUUAUCCCACGAGCACUUCCUCUUCCUGCUCUUUUCUUCUCCUAUACCCAUUUGCUAGUGCCACUUCCACUUGCCCUUCCCAGUUUUUCUCCUCUCUUUUGGUCUUACUUGCUGCUGGCUGAGCCAGUCAUGGAGGAGGAGGAGGAGCAGCAGAAGCACGAGCAGGCUAGUGCUUGUGAUUCUAAUGGCACUUCCAUUCAUGUCUUGGCUGUUGAUGACUGCUUCGUUGACCGGAAAAUUGUUGGGAAGCUCCUUGAAAAAGCCUCGUUUAAAGUUACUAGUGCUGAUAGUGGAAAGAAGGCAUUGGAGGUUCUUGGAAUUAGUCAAGACAAAGUGGAGAAAUCUAGUUAUAAUGACCAAAAGAUUGACAUAAUCCUUACUGACUAUUGUAUGCCUGAGAUGAAUGGAUAUGAUCUUCUUAUGGCUGUGAAGGGGAAUAGCAAUGUGAAGUCCAUUCCCGUUGUGAUAAUAUCAUCUGAAUAUGAUCCACAGAGAAUCAGCAGGUAUUUUUCUCACAUUAGUUUACCAUGAAGAUAACUACCCGCAAGUUUAUUAUUGUAGUUGUUGAUCUUUUUGGAUAUUAUUUGCACAAUCUUGGGUGUUUUCUCCAAAGUUUGAUUUGCUGGAUUAUAUUUUACCAUUAGUACACAUGGAUUUGAAUGGAAGGAUGGCUAAUUUGCAAUUUCUUUUUCAGCCUGGUAAGUGCUUCUCUCAUCUUAGCUACCCACCAACGGAAAGCAAAAUAUAGUGAACUUUGUUUGGGUGUGGUCAUUAAAAGAUGGUACUUUGGGAUUCCACAAACAGGAUAUGUCCCUAAUUUCUCUCUUGGCUGGCCGGUAUGAGAGAAGGAAAGGAAAGGAGUUGAAAUUUAAUGCUUCAUUGAAAUAAACUAAUAAAAGUAUUUUAGUAUGAAUGGCAUAGAUCAUUAAUAUUAAAACAAAAGAUGGCAGCAUCUGUAGCUAAGCAGUAUUUAGUCACUUUUCAACUAAUAGCUAUUCAUAUUAAGAUGGAUCUUGAUAUUAAAUUUCUUAUUGAUAAGGCACAUCAAGAUGUCUAAAUCAAUAGAAUAAUCAUUCCCAUGCUGCCAAUCAAAUUUGGCCAAAAGAGAGAUUGAGUACUUUGCUCUUGGCUGCCAAAGCUGCCAGCCUUAUUGGAGUUUAAUAUGCUUUGGCAUUUUAAGCUUGGAUAUCAGUUAUGAAGUUCCUAUUAUGAAUCUGGUUUAAUCUGCAUAUACAAACUUUCAUGAAGUGCUAUUGUAUUGAUGCAUAUUUGGUUUAAUCAUUCUGCAUCUACAGUACAUCAAAAUGGUGUCUUUUGCAUACACCAAGAAAAUGACUUUGUGUGCUUUAGCUUUUAUUUUGAUGUGGCUUCUGUGCAUCAAUGUUAUUUUAGUUUCUGUUUGGGAGAGACGAAAAUGGAGGGAGAGAGAAAGUGGGAUGUGGGGACCACAUGAUAAGAAAGAAAUAUGUGGGCCUUAUCCCAUUUUUCCUCCACAUGGCAUGAUAAGAAACAUAUUUGUGGGUUCUUAUACUAUUUUCCCUUUUCCCUAUUUUUUCUUCUCCCUAUUUUUUCUUCCUCUCCCAAACAGAGCCUUAGUGAUCUGAGUGUGCUUAGAACUUUUCCAGUCUUUGCUGGGCUAUCUUUUCCUAUAUUUGGUGGAAAAACAACCAUAACUUUAUGUGAAAUACUAUGUUUAACCCAUGGGGAAAUGCCAAGUUGCCAACCUAGCUCAUGGCUGUUCAAUAAUUGGGCUGCAUCUUCUUUCAUUAUCAAAUAGUGGAUUACAUAAUAUCAAGUUGCAUCAUAGAAUGGUAGGUUCACAUGGCCCUCACAUACUGUACUUGAUUGUUAUGUGCUCCACAGGUGUCUUGCAAAUGGUGCUGAAGAUUUCCUACGGAAACCACUUCAACAUAAAGACCUGCAGAAGUUGAGAAGCUAUGUUAAGCCUUCAGCACCUGUACCCAAGACAGGGACAAAAAGAAAAGUCAUGCUGGAAUUGAUACCAGAAAGUGGUACAGCAGAAACGCGACCUCGCAUUGCUGGAGUUGCAGUGGCUUAACCCUCCAUAGGUGUGACCCUCUCUCCCUUGUCUUCUCUUUCCCUCGACAAGGGCAAGUUGCCAGCAGCCAUCAUACACAUCCCUGCGGAGUAAAGGAUUAAAUGUCUGGCUAGAAACCUGAAUGUGCUUUAAGCAAUAAGUUCUUUGUGUUGUUCUGAGGGAUCCAAAUGUUAUGGUUUAGAAAUACAGCAGCCAUGUUUAUACAAUAGGCCUUGUGGCCCUGCGGAAACUUGUUAAUAAUUAAUUAUGAAUGCAAUCCUGUUUGUGAUGGAUUUCCAAACUUGACAAGAAGCACCACACG